rnacentral:ncRNA from 1 species
AACCGCACCCCACGGUGAAAAAUACACUGAUAAAGAAGUGCUGGUAGACAUACACACGUAUGGCCGAAGGCAGGGACUUAGGAAAAGCAGACAA